GACGAACGCUGGCGGCGUGCCUAAUACAUGCAAGUCGAGCGGACUUUCAAGAAGCUUGCUUUUUGAAAGUUAGCGGCGGACGGGUGAGUAACACGUGGGCAACCUGCCUGUAAGACGGGGAUAACUCCGGGAAACCGGGGCUAAUACCGGAUAAUAUCUUUCUUCGCAUGAAGGAAGGUUGAAAGGCGGCGCAAGCUGCCGCUUGCAGAUGGGCCCGCGGCGCAUUAGCUAGUUGGUGAGGUAACGGCUCACCAAGGCGACGAUGCGUAGCCGACCUGAGAGGGUGAUCGGCCACUGGGACUGAGGCACGGCCCAGACUCCUACGGGAGGCAGCAGUAGGGAAUCUUCCGCAAUGGACGAAAGUCUGACGGAGCAACGCCGCGUGAGCGAAGAAGGUCUUCGGAUCGUAAAGCUCUGUUGUCAGGGAAGAACAAGUACCGUUCGAAUAGGGCGGUACCUUGACGGUACCUGACCAGAAAGCCACGGCUAACUACGUGCCAGCCGCCGCGGUAA
rnacentral:rRNA from 1 species